UACGUAGGGUGCAAGCGUUGUCCGGAAUUAUUGGGCGUAAAGAGCUCGUAGGCGGUUUGUCGCGUCUGCUGUGAAAACUGGAGGCUCAACCUCCAGCCUGCAGUGGGUACGGGCAGACUAGAGUGCGGUAGGGGAGAUUGGAAUUCCUGGUGUAGCGGUGGAAUGCGCAGAUAUCAGGAGGAACACCGAUGGCGAAGGCAGAUCUCUGGGCCGUAACUGACGCUGAGGAGCGAAAGCAUGGGGGAGCGAACAGG
rnacentral:rRNA from 1 species